rnacentral:rRNA from 1 species
GUGUGACUCGUCACACUAUCAUUAACUGAAUCCAUAGGUUAAUGAGGCGAACCGGGGGAACUGAAACAUCUAAGUACCCCGAGGAAAAGAAAUCAACCGAGAUUCCCCCAGUAGCGGCGAGCGAACGGGGAGGAGCCCAGAGCCUGAAUCAGCAUGUGUGUUAGUGGAAGCGUCUGGAAAGGCGCGCGAUACAGGGUGACAGCCCCGUACACAAAAGCGCAUGUGCUGUGAGCUCGAUGAGUAGGGCGGGACACGUGGUAUCCUGUCUGAAUAUGGGGGGACCAUCCUCCAAGGCUAAAUACUCCUGACUGACCGAUAGUGAACCAGUACCGUGAGGGAAAGGCGAAAAGAACCCCGGCGAGGGGAGUGAAAAAGAACCUGAAACCGUGUACGUACAAGCAGUGGGAGCACAGGUUUACCUGUGUGACUGCGUACCUUUUGUAUAAUGGGUCAGCGACUUAUAUUCUGUAGCAAGGUUAACCGAAUAGGGGAGCCGGAGGGAAACCGAGUCUUAAUUGGGCGUUAAGUUGCAGGGUAUAGACCCGAAACCCGGUGAUCUAGCCAUGGGCAGGUUGAAGGUUGGGUAACACUAACUGGAGGACCGAACCGACUAAUGUUGAAAAAUUAGCGGAUGACCUGUGGCUGGGGGUGAAAGGCCAAUCAAACCGGGAGAUAGCUGGUUCUCCCCGAAAGCUAUUUAGGUAGCGCCUCGUGAAUUCAUCUCCGGGGGUAGAGCACUGUUUCGGCUAGGGGGCCAUCCCGGCUUACCAACCCGAUGCAAACUGCGAAUACCGGAGAAUGUUAUCACGGGAGACACACGGCGGGUGCUAACGUCCGUCGUGAAGAGGGAAACAACCCAGACCGCCAGCUAAGGUCCCAAAGUCAUGGUUAAGUGGGAAACGAUGUGGGAAGGCCCAGACAGCCAGGAUGUUGGCUUAGAAGCAGCCAUCAUUUAAAGAAAGCGUAAUAGCUCACUGGUCGAGUCGGCCUGCGCGGAAGAUGUAACGGGGCUAAACCAUG